UACGUAGGGGGCUAGCGUUGUCCGGAAUCAUUGGGCGUAAAGAGCGUGUAGGCGGCCCGGUAAGUCCGCUGUGAAAGUCGGGGGCUCAACCCUCGAAUGCCGGUGGAUACUGUCGGGCUAGAGUGCGGAAGAGGCGAGUGGAAUUCCCGGUGUAGCGGUGAAAUGCGCAGAUAUCGGGAGGAACACCAAAUGGCGAAGGCAGCUUGCUGGGACGGUACUGACGCUGAGGCGCGAAAGCGUGGGGAGCAAACAGG
rnacentral:rRNA from 1 species